UACGUAGGGUGCAAGCGUUAAUCGGAAUUACUGGGCGUAAAGCGUGCGCAGGCGGUUGUGCAAGACAGAUGUGAAAUCCCCGGGCUCAACCUGGGAACUGCAUUUGUGACUGCACAGCUAGAGUACGGUAGAGGGGAUGGAAUUCCGCGUGUAGCAGUGAAAUGCGUAGAUAUGCGGAGGAACACCGAUGGCGAAGGCAAUCCCCUGGACCUGUACUGACGCUCAUGUACGAAAGCGUGGGGAGCAACAGG
rnacentral:rRNA from 1 species